CCACGGGUGGCAGCAGUGGGGAAUAUUGCGCAAUGGGCGAAAGCCUGACGCCGCGACGCCGCGUGAGGGAUGAAGGUCUUCGGAUCGUAAACCUCUGUCAGCAGGGACGAACGGUCACUGUGCUAAUCAGCAGUGAAUUGACGGUACCUACACAGGAAGCACCGGCUAACUCCGUGCCAGCAGCCGCGGUAAUACGGAGGGUGCGUGCGUUAAUCGGAAUUACGGGGCGUAAAGCGCGCGUAGGCGGUAUGUCAAGUCAAGGGUGAAAUCCCCGCGCUCAACGUGGGAACUGCCUUUGAAACUGGCAAACUGGAGAGUGUUAGAGGAUAGUGGAAUUCCAGGUGUAGGAGUGAAAGCCGUAGAUAU
rnacentral:rRNA from 1 species